GGACGUGAGCAUGAUCUGGCUGCCACAUCUGACACCCUGUUGAUCACCAGGGUUGAUACAGCUGUUCUGGCUGGGUAGGUGGGUGUCCCCUUCCUCCUUCACUGCUCCAUGUAUGUCCCUCCUGAAGCUCUGUGCUCAGUUGGAGAGGACCACCUUCCCCAAUAGAGGAAGUCCGGGCAUACGUAGCUGCGCUCCCCACUAGAACCUCCAAACAAGCUCUCAAAGUCCAUUUGUAGGAGAACAUAUGAUAGUCAAGCUUCCAAGACCCUAGACACAGCCAAACAAGGUGCUAUGUGGCAGUCUGCCUUUCCUC
rnacentral:snRNA from 1 species